GCGGGAAUAGCUCAGAUGGUUAGAGUGCAACCUUGCCAAGGUUGAGGUCGCGAGUUCGAAUCUCGUUUCCCGCU
rnacentral:tRNA from 1 species